rnacentral:rRNA from 1 species
UACGGAGGGAGCUAGCGUUGUUCGGAAUCACUGGGCGUAAAGCGCGCGCAGGUGGCUUUUCAAGUUAGGAGUGAAAGCCUGGGGCUCAACCCCAGAACUGCUCUUAAGACUGAGGGGCUAGAGUGUGGGAGAGGAUAGCGGAAUUCCGUGAGUAGAGGUGAAAUUCGUAGAUAUACGGAGGAACUACAAAGGCGAAGGCAGCUAUCUGGAACACAACUGACACUGAGGCGCGAAAGUGUGGGGAUCAAACAGG